GCAAGUCGAACGGUAGAGCAGCAAUGCUUGAGAGUGGCGAACGGGUGAGUAAUAUAUCGGAACGUGCCCAGUCGUGGGGGAUAACGUAGAGAAAUUUACGCUAAUACCGCAUACGAUCUAAGGAUGAAAGCGGGGGACUCGCAAGAGCCUCGCGCGAUUGGAGCGGCUGAUAUCAGAUUAGGUUGUUGGUGAGGUAAAAGCUCACCAAGCCGACGAUCUGUAGCUGGUUUGAGAGAACGACCAGCCACACUGGGACUGAGACACGGCCCAGACUCCUACGGGAGGCAGCAGUGGGGAAUUUUGGACAAUGGGCGAAAGCCUGAUCCAGCAAUGCCGCGUGUGGGAAGAAGGCCUUCGGGUUGUAAACCACUUUUGUACGGAACGAAACGGUCUGCCUUAAUACGGUGGGCUAAUGACGGUACCGUAAGAAUAAGCACCGGCUAACUACGUGCCAGCAGCCGCGGUAAUACGUAGGGUGCGAGCGUUAAUCGGAAUUACUGGGCGUAAAGCGUGCGCAGGCGGUUAUAUAAGACAGUUGUGAAAUCCCCGGGCUCAACCUGGGAAUUGCAUCUGUGACUGUAUAGCUAGAGUACGGUAGAGGGGGAUGGAAUUCCGCGUGUAGCAGUGAAAUGCGUAGAUAUGCGGAGGAACACCGAUGGCGAAGGCAAUCCCCUGGACCUGUACUGACGCUCAUGCACGAAAGCGUGGGGAGCAAACAGGAUUAGAUACCCUGGUAGUCCACGCCCUAAACGAUGUCAACUGGUUGUUGGGUGCAUUAGUACUCAGUAACGAAGCUAACGCGUGAAGUUGACCGCCUGGGGAGUACGGCCGCAAGGUUGAAACUCAAAGAAUUGACGGGGACCGCACAGCGUGGAUGAUGUGUUUAUCGAUGCAACGCGAAAACUUACCUACUUGACAUGUACGAUUCG
rnacentral:rRNA from 1 species